GGCUGAUGAGAGCUGGAAGGUGAAUAAGUUCUGCCAUAGCAAAUCUUGGGUGUCAAGAAACAGAAGGAUGCUAUCCUGUUCCACCUCCAUGGUAAACUGUACAUUGGGGUGAGUUGAGCUGAGGUCAUGGAGAAAUUCACCUAAGCUCUCCCAUCCACGAGGCCCAACGAUGACCAUCAUCCACAUAAUGGUAGAAAGAGGUGUGUCAUCAGAAGCCGCUCGUGACUGAUUCCUCAGAUCUUAUGGGUCAGACCUGUUGGCUAUAGAGUUGGUACUGAACUCUACUACACCUGCUUCGGCCAGUGCCAGGCCGUCUGCCGGUACCGGCACUGCUUUGCUUCCAGCCUCGCACAGCUGUUCAGGCUCUUGGGUUUGGCUGCUGGAUGAAGUGGGUAUUAGUGGUAAUUGAGAGUACCCAUGGCUGAUGCCUCUGCAUUGUUCGCAUGACUGUGGCUAAUGGAAGGGCAUCAUGACACGUCAACCACCUAUGACCACAUGUGCCUCUGCCACCCAACGUCAUCCGUCUGCUCAGCUGUCUCCUGCAUCACAGCCAGUGCCCUCGCCAUCUGUGUUGCUGCUGUCAACAUUUUCACAACUGUCUCCUCUGCUGUCAGGCCGUGGCAGGACCCCAGCUGCCGUGCUGUCGCACCUGAUGUCUCCACCACUGCCACCUCCAUCACAACUGGCGCUGUCUGUUCUGCCACCUUCUCCGCAACCUGCUUCACUGCGGCUGGACUCGCGUGUGGAAAUAGAAGCUAUCCCAGUGUCAGCUGUCCUAUCGUAACCUCUCACAGUGGGGGCAGGUGCCACAUCUGUCUGCGCCUGUGCCAGUUCUGACCGUACGUAUCGGUGGCAACACGUCACAUGACUCAACAGUUUACAUUGACCACAGAAGAAAUGGACAUGAGCACAGUGAUUACUCCUUCAUGAAGGAAGAGGAGUGCUGUACCUACCAAUUUUGUAAGUGCACCACUUCAUAGUUUGCACAUGAAGUUUGUGCUUGAUUUGGUCACUAGAGGGCACCCGGUCUGCUAAUAAGACAGCAGUUGUGAACACAGCCUGGACCUAGGCUGGAACGCAAGGCUCUGAUGGCCACUUGUUUAUUGCUAAUUUUAUUGUAUGUUGUCUUCCAUGUGUGUGCAUUGUUCGAGCAAUAAAUUACAGUGUUUUUGGGUCAGAACAACAGUGUUAUGAACAUACAGUUUAGGAGCCCCUGGUGGAACAAAUGCUUUAUGACAAUACGGUCAAAGAAAGACACCAGCUUCAGGCCCUCUGAAAUAUUUAAGCUUAGUUAAGCUUGAUAAUGAAAAUCUGAUAGCUAUGUCAGAUUCCUGUUGCUACUGGAACAAAAAUAAAAUAUGUUCUCUUUCUGAUGUUAUCUAGUACUCAUGAAGUAUGUGCUUAUGGAAGCCCAGCAUAAGUUUCCAGUUCCUCAAUGAUGACAGGCUAUAUGGUAGCAGAGAUGAAGAAAAAUGUAUCUUGUUUAUGACACUGGGGGGGUUGUAUAGAAUUGUUGGAAUCUCAGGACCUAAUGUAAAUUUUAAGACCAUUUCGAUGGGAAGGAAAAAAGAUGUAUUUUAGUGUCAGAAGCAGAACAGACACGAGUAUUUCAUAACACAACAAUUUUUGGGUUAAGGUAGCAUUCCAGAACUCUGAAUAGUUCAGAAUUUUGAGAGAUUAUCCAAAAAGUCACUUCCUACCAUGUGUUCAUGACCUAAUGUGUGAGAAGAUGUUUCUUUAAAAUGCAGUGGGAAUCCUCAACAGACGUACUCAUAUUAAUGCUGUUCCUAAGUAAAGAAAUACACAUUUCUUCUGUUAGUCUCUGUAAUAUAAAGGUAUUGAAGAUAUUCAUUCCUGAGAAGCGUCAAGCUUUUUAAAAUAGUUUACAAGCUACAACACCAGUGGAAUCUAAGGGGUGUUAAAUUAGUGAAAGCUACCUGAUUCACAGUGUCUGGCAUCAAGCAAAACAAUAAUACAGAUAUAUAAAAGUGACUGUAGAUGUGAUCUUGCUCAAAUCAGUUUAAAGAGUCUAAGUACGAUUUAUU